UAUGUAGGGUGCGAGCGUUAAUCGGAAUUACUGGGCGUAAAGCGUGCGCAGGCGGUUUUGUAAGCCAGAUGUGAAAUCCCCGGGCUCAACCUGGGAAUGGCAUUUGGGGACUGCAAGGCUUGAGUGCGGCAGAGGAGACUGGAAUUCCUGGUGUAGCGGUGAAAUGCGUAGAUAUCAGGAGGAAUACCGGUGGCGAAAGCGACUCUCUGGACGGCAACUGACGCUGAGGCACGAAAGCGUGGGGAGCAAACAGG
rnacentral:rRNA from 1 species